rnacentral:rRNA from 1 species
AUACUGGUCAAUGGACGCAAGUCUGAACCAGCCAUGCCGCGUGAAGGAUGAAGGUCCUCUGGAUUGUAAACUUCUUUUAUCUGGGACGAAAACGGGAUUUUUAUCUCAAUUGACGGUACCAGAGGAAUAAGCACCGGCUAACUCCGUGCCAGCAGCCGCGGUAAUACGGAGGGUGCAAGCGUUAUCCGGAUUCACUGGGUUUAAAGGGUGCGUAGGUGGGCAGGUAAGUCAGUGGUGAAAUCUCCGGGCUUAACCCGGAAACUGCCGUUGUUACUAUUUAUCUUGAAUAUUGUGGAGGUAAGCGGAAUAUGUCAUGUAGCGGUGAAAUGCUUAGAUAUGACAUAGAACACCAAUUGCGAAGGCAGCUUACUACACAAUCAUUGACGCUGAGGCACGAAAGCGUGGGGAUCAAACA